UCCCACCUGGUCAUGGGGAUAAUCUUUUUAAUGUACUGUUGGAUCCUAUUAGCUAGGAUCUUGUUGAUAAUCUUGGUGUCCAUAUUCAGCAGGGAUAUUGGUCUGAAAUUAUUCCUUUUGAUGGGAUCUUUGCCUGGUUUGGGAUCAAGACAAU